GCCCUGGCAGUCAGAGGCGAUGAAGGGCGUGCUAAUCUGCGAUAAGCGCCGGUAAGGUGAUAUGAACCGUUAUAACCGGCGAUACCCGAAUGGGGAAACCCAGUGUGACUCGUCACACUAUCAUUAACUGAAUCCAUAGGUUAAUGAGGCGAACCGGGGGAACUGAAACAUCUAAGUACCCCGAGGAAAAGAAAUCAACCGAGAUUCCCCCAGUAGCGGCGAGCGAACGGGGAGGAGCCCAGAGCCUGAAUCAGCAUGUGUGUUAGUGGAAGCGUCUGGAAAGGCGCGCGAUACAGGGUGACAGCCCCGUACACAAAAGCGCAUGUGCUGUGAGCUCGAUGAGUAGGGCGGGACACGUGGUAUCCUGUCUGAAUAUGGGGGGACCAUCCUCCAAGGCUAAAUACUCCUGACUGACCGAUAGUGAACCAGUACCGUGAGGGAAAGGCGAAAAGAACCCCGGCGAGGGGAGUGAAAAAGAACCUGAAACCGU
rnacentral:rRNA from 2 species